rnacentral:rRNA from 1 species
AACGAACGCUGGCGGCGUGGAUAAGACAUGCAAGUCGAACGCUUAUUUCGGUGUAGCAAUACAACGGAGUAGGAGUGGCGCAAGGGUGCGUAACACGUGGGUAAUUUGCCGUGAAGUCCGGGAGUAACUUGCUGAAAGGCGAGCUAAUACCGGAUGUGGAAAUUGGAAGGCAUCUUUUGAUUUCUGAAGUUGGGGACCGCAAGGCCCGACGCUUUACGAUAAGCCCGCGGCCCUAUCAGCUAGUUGGUGAGGUAACGGCUCACCAAGGCUAAGAC